rnacentral:rRNA from 1 species
AUACCCGCAGCCCAAGUGGUGGUCGAUUUUAUUGAGUCUAAAACGUUCGUAGCCGGUUCAUUAAAUCCUUGGGUAAAUCGGAUGGCUUAACUAUCCGAAUUCCGGGGAGACUGGUGAACUUGGGACCGGGAGAGGCAAGAGGUACUUUUGGGGUAGGGGUAAAAUCCUGUAAUCCUAAAAGGACCACCGGUGGCGAAGGCGUCUUGCUAGAACGGAUCCGACGGUGAGGGACGAAGCCCUGGGUCGCAAACGGGAUUAGAUACCCCGGUAGUCCAGGGUGUAAACGCUGCAGACUUGGUGUUGGGGACCCUUCGGGGGUGUUCAGUGCCGGAGAGAAGUUGUUAAGUCUGCUACUUGGGGAGUACGUCCGCAAGGAUGAAACUUAAAUGAAUUGACGGGG